rnacentral:rRNA from 1 species
UGGUAGUCCACGCUGUAAACGAUGAUUACUAGUUGUUUGCGAUAGACUGCAAGUGACACAGCGAAAGCGUUAAGUNAAUCCACCUGGGGAGUACGCCGGCAACGGUGAAACUCAAAGGAAUUGACGGGGGCCCGCACAAGCGGAGGAACAUGUGGUUUAAUUCGAUGAUACGCGAGGAACCUUACCCGGGUUUGAACGCAUAGGGACAGCAGGUGAAAGUCUGUUUCCAGCAAUGGCCCUUUGCGAGGUGCUGCAUGGUUGUCGUCAGCUCGUGCCGUGAGGUGUCGGCUUAAGUGCCAUAACGAGCGCAACCCUUAUCGUCAGUUACCAGCAAGUAAAGUUGGGGACUCUGGCGAGACUGCCGGCGUAAGCUGUGAGGAAGGUUGGGAUGACGUCAAAUCAGCACGGCCCUUACAUCCGGGGCGACACACGUGUUACAAUGGCACGGACAAAGAGCGGCUACCGGGCGACCGGAUGCCAAUCUCCAAACCGUGUCUCAGUUCGGAUCGGAGUCUGCAACUCGACUCCGUGAAGCUGGAUUCGCUAGUAAUCGCGCAUCAGCCAUGGCGCGGUGAAUACGUUCCCGGGCCUUGUACACACCGCCCGUCAAGCCAUGGGAGUUGGGGGUACCUGAAGUCCGUAACCGCAAGGAUCGGCCUAGGGUAAAACCAGUGACUGGGGCUAAGUCGUAACAAGGUAACCGUA